rnacentral:rRNA from 1 species
GACGUAGGGUGCGAGCGUUUGUCCGGAUUUAUUGGGCGUAAAGAGCUCGUAGGCGGCUCGUCGCGUCGACCGUGAAAACCCGCAGCUUAACUGCGGGCUUGCGGUUGAUACGGGCGGGCUAGAGUUCGGUAGGGGAGACUGGAAUUCCUGGUGUAGCGGUGGAAUGCGCAGGUAUCAGGAGGAACACCGGUGGCGAAGGCGGGUCUCUGGGCCGAUACUGACGCUGAGGAGCGAAAGCGUGGGGAGCGAACAGG